rnacentral:rRNA from 1 species
CCUACGGGAGACAGCAGUGGGGAAUAUUGGACAAUGGGGGGAACCCUGAUCCAGCGACGCCGCGUGAGUGAAGAAGUAUUUCGGUAUGUAAAGCUCUAUCAGCAGGGAAGAAAGAAAUGACGGUACCUGACUAAGAAGCCCCGUCUAACUACGUGCCAGAAGCCGCGGUAAUACGUAGGGGGCAAGCGUUAUCCGGAUUUACUGGGUGUAAAGGGAGCGUAGACGGCGAUGCAAGUCUGAAGUGAAAGGCGGGGGCACAACCCCCAGACUGCUUUGGAAACUGUAUGGCUGGAGUGCAGGAGAGGUAAGUGGAAUUCCUAGUGUAGCGGUGAAAUGCGUAGAUAUUAGGAGGAACCCCAGUGGCGAAGGCGGCUUACUAGACUGUAACUGACGUUGAGGCUCGAAAGCGUGGGGAGCAAACAGGAUUAGAUACCCCGGUAGUC